GCGACGAACACACAUCUACUGACUGAAUACCACGCCCUACUCAGAGGAAACUUUGUUACCCAGAUAUCAUUUGGAGGUUCCCGUUUUAGAUAAGAGACAGGAAACCACCGACUGCUCGCCGCAAGCCUUUCGAAAUAAGAAUUUGUGGAUGGUUACCAAAGAAGCUCAUUGGGUGGAGAGCGAUGUACGGCUUGGCUUUUGUGUGAAAAAGCUGCUCGCUUGUCGACUGAAAUUUGACGCAGGAUUUUAUAAUGUAAGACAAAAGAUAAAAUAAAUAAAAAAUUUAUCUAGA